rnacentral:miRNA from 1 species
UGUACUCUUCCCAAUGCCUGGG